rnacentral:rRNA from 1 species
GUCGUGACUGCGUGCCUUUUGAAGAAUGAGCCUGCGAGUUAGCGGUGUGUAGCGAGGUUAACCCGUGUGGGGAAGCCGUAGCGAAAGCGAGUCCGAAGAGGGCGUUUGAGUUGCACGCUCUAGACCCGAAGCGGAGUGAUCUAGCCAUGGGCAGGUUGAAGCGGCUGUAAGAGGUCGUGGAGGACCGAACCCACCAGGGUUGAAAACCUGGGGGAUGACCUGUGGUUAGGGGUGAAAGGCCAAUCAAACUCCGUGAUAGCUGGUUCUCCCCGAAAUGCAUUUAGGUGCAGCGUCGUGUGUUUCUUGCCGGAGGUAGAGCACUGGAUAGGCGAUGGGCCCUACCGGGUUACUGACCUUAGCCAAACUCCGAAUGCCGGUAAGUGAGAGCGCGGCAGUGAGACUGUGGGGGAUAAGCUCCAUGGUCGAGAGGGAAACAGCCCAGAGCAUCGACUAAGGCCCCUAAGCGUACGCUAAGUGGGAAAGGAUGUGGAGUCGCAGAGACAACCAGGAGGUUGGCUUAGAAGCAGCCACCCUUGAAAGAGUGCGUAAUAGCUCACUGGUCUAGUGAUUCCGCGCCGACAAUGUAGCGGGGCUCAAGCGUACCGCCGAAGUCGUGUCAUUGCAGCAUGAGGGCUAACGCCUGCUGUGAUGGGUAGGGGAGCGUCGUGUGCCGGGUGAAGCAGCCGUGGAAGCGAGUUGUGGACGGUUCACGAGUGAGAAUGCAGGCAUGAGUAGCGAUUCACACGUGAGAAACGUGUGCGCCGAUUGACUAAGGGUUCCUGGGUCAAGCUGAUCUGCCCAGGGUAAGUCGGGACCUAAGGCGAGGCCGACAGGCGUAGUCGAUGGAUAACCGGUUGAUAUUCCGGUACCCGCUGUGAAGCGUCAAACAUUGAAUCCAGUGAUGCUAAGCCCGUGAAGCCGUUCCGGACCCUUCGGGGAAUGGAAAGUGGUGGAGCCGGUGGCCCGAGCUGGUAGUAGGUGAGUGAUGGGGUGACGCAGGAAGGUAGUCCAUCCCGGGCGGUGGUUGUCCCGGGGUAAGGGUGUAGGACGUCAGGUAGGUAAAUCCGCCUGGCUAUAGUCUGAGACCUGAUGCCGAGCCGAUUGUGGUGAAGUGGAUGAUCCUAUGCUGUCGAGAAAAGCCUCUAGCGAGUUUCAUGGCGGCCCGUACCCUAAACCGACUCAGGUGGUCAGGUAGAGAAUACCGAGGCGUUCGGGUGAACUAUGGUUAAGGAACUCGGCAAAAUGCCCCCGUAACUUCGGGAGAAGGGGGGCCAUGUCUGGUGAUCCGAUUUACUCGGUGAGCUGGGUGUGGCCGCAGAGACCAGCGAGAAGCGACUGUUUACUAAAAACACAGGUCCGUGCGAAGCCGUAAGGCGAUGUAUACGGACUGACGCCUGCCCGGUGCUGGAACGUUAAGGGGACCGGUUAGUCACAUUUCGGUGUGGCGAAGCUGAGAACUUAAGCGCCAGUAAACGGCGGUGGUAACUAUAACCAUCCUAAGGUAGCGAAAUUCCUUGUCGGGUAAGUUCCGACCUGCACGAAUGGCGUAACGACUUCUCGACUGUCUCAACCAUAGGCCCGGUGAAAUUGCAUUACGAGUAAAGAUGCUCGUUUCGCGCAGCAGGACGGAAAGACCCCGGGACCUUUACUACAGUUUGAUAUUGGUGUUCGGUUCGGCUUGUGUAGGAUAGGUGGGAGACUGUGAAGCAUGCACGCCAGUGUGUGUGGAGUCGUCGUUGAAAUACCACUCUGGUCGUGCUGGAUGUCUAACCUGGGUCCGUGAUCCGGAUCAGGGACAGUGUCUGAUGGGUAGUUUAACUGGGGCGGUUGCCUCCUAAAGAGUAACGGAGGCGCCCAAAGGUUCCCUCAGCCUGGUUGGUAAUCAGGUGUUGAGUGUAAGUGCACAAGGGAGCUUGACUGUGAGACCGACGGGUCGAGCAGGGACGAAAGUCGGGACUAGUGAUCCGGCGGUGGCUUGUGGAAGCGCCGUCGCUCAACGGAUAAAAGGUACCCCGGGG